CCUACGGGCGGCUGCAGUGGGGAAUAUUGCGCAAUGGGCGCAAGCCUGAUGCAGCCAUGCCGCGUGUGUGAAGAAGGCCUUCGGGUUGUAAAGCACUUUCGGCGGGGAGGAAGGCGUUAAGGUUAAUAACCUUGUCGAUUGACGUUACCCGCAGAAGAAGCACCGGCUAACUCCGUGCCAGCAGCCGCGGUAAUACGGAGGGUGCAAGCGUUAAUCGGAAUUACUGGGCGUAAAGCGCACGCAGGCGGUCUGUCAAGUCGGAUGUGAAAUCCCCGGGCUCAACCUGGGAACUGCAUUCGAAACUGGCAGGCUAGAGUCUUGUAGAGGGGGGUAGAACUCCAGGUGUAGCGGUGAAAUGCGUAGAGAUCUGGAGGAAUACCGGUGGCGAAGGCGGCCCCCUGGACAAAGACUGACGCUCAGGUGCGAAAGCGUGGGGAGCAAACAGGAUUAGAUACCCCUGUAGUC
rnacentral:rRNA from 1 species